CCUACGGGAGGCAGCAGUAAGGAAUAUUGGUCAAUGGAGGCAACUCUGAACCAGCCAUGCCGCGUGCAGGAAGAAGGCCCUAUGGGUCGUAAACUGCUUUUGUACCAGAGAAAACCCGAGUACGUGUACUCGGUUGAUAGUAUGGUAAGAAUAAGCAUCGGCUAACUUCGUGCCAGCAGCCGCGGUAAGACGAAGGAUGCAAGCGUUAUCCGGAUUCAUUGGGUUUAAAGGGUGCGUAGGCGGACUGAUAAGUCAGUGGUGAAAUCUCUCGGCUUAACCGAGAAACUGCCAUUGAUACUGUUAGUCUAGAGUAUAGAUGACGUUGGCGGAAUAUGACAUGUAGUGGUGAAAUACUUAGAUAUGUCAUAGAACACCGAUUGCGAAGGCAGCUAACGAAACUAUAACUGACGCUGAGGCACGAAAGUGCGGGGAUCAAACAGGAUUAGAUACCCUGGUAGUCCGCACCGUAAACGAUGAUUACUCGUUGUUGGCAAUAUGACCGUCAGCGACCAAGCGAAAGCGAUAAGUAAUCCACCUGGGGAGUACGCCGGCAACCGGUUGAAACGUUAAAGGAAAUUGAACGGCUGAGACGAGACGACGACGACGACGAGGGAGGAGG
rnacentral:rRNA from 1 species